UACAGAGGCCCCAAGCGUUACUGAGAAUCACUGGGUUUAAAGGGUGCGUAGGUGGCGCGUUAAGUCCGUUGUGAAAGCCCGGGGCUCAACCCCGGGUCUGCCAUGCCGACUGUCAGGCUGGAGUACUGUAGGGGCAGGCGGAAUUCCGGGUGUAGCGGUGGAAUGCGUAGAGAUCCGGAGGAAGACCGGUGGCGAAGGCGGCCUGCUGGGCAGUUACUGACACUGAUGCGCGACAGCGUGGGGAGCAAACAGG
rnacentral:rRNA from 1 species